GACGAACGCUGGCGGCGUGCUUAACACAUGCAAGUCGAGCGGUAAGGCCCUUUCGGGGGUACACGAGCGGCGAACGGGUGAGUAACACGUGGGUGACCUGCCCUUAGCUCUGGGAUAAGCCUGGGAAACUGGGUCUAAUACCGGAUAUGACUCCAUGACGCAUGUUGUGGGGUGGAAAGCCUUGUGCGGCUAGGGAUGGGCCCGCGGCCUAUCAGCUUGUUGGUGGGGUGAUGGCCACCAAGGCGACGACGGGUAGCCGGCCUGAGAGGGCGACCGGCCACACUGGGACUGAGACACGGCCCAGACUCCUACGGGAGGCAGCAGUGGGGAAUCUUGCGCAAUGGGCGAAAGCCUGACGCAGCGACGCCGCGUGGGGAGU
rnacentral:rRNA from 1 species